GACGAACGCUGGCGGCGGGCUUAACACAUGCAAGUCGAACGGUAAAGCGCCUUCCUCUUUGGUUGGUGUGGGUGAGUGGCGAACGGGGGAGGAACACGUUAGUAACCUGCCCCCUUCUUCGGGAUAACCGCAGGAAAGUGUGGCUAAUACCGGAUAUUCCGUGUCGGUCGCAUGAUGGGUCUGUGGAAGCUAUUGCUUCGGAGUGGGAUGGGCUCGCGGCCUAUCAGCUUGUUGGUGGAGUGCUGGCCUAGCAAGGCGGUGAGGCGUGGCCGGGCUGAGAGGGUGGGCGGCCACAGAGCGGAUGCGAGGCCGAGCCGACUCCUACGGGAGGCAGUGGUGAGUAAUAGUGCACAGUGGGAGGAAGCCUGAUGCAGCGACGCCGCGGGAGGGAUGGCGGUCUGCUUGUUGUGAACCUCUGUCGGGAGUGAAGCAGGCCUGCUUAGUUUGUCGGUGGGUUGACGGUAGCUGGAUAAGAAGCGCCGGCUAACUACGUG
rnacentral:rRNA from 1 species